CUUUCCCUCUGCUCAUACAUCCAGCCAUUAGGUGAUCCAACUUUCCUGCUGUCCAUGAGAGGAUCUCUACCCCUUUUCCGCCUUUUGGGCUUUUGAUAACCAAGGGCAGGCACCACUGUCAAAGGCACAACGUUGAUGAUCAGAAGCUCAAUAGGUUUAGCUGAGCUGUAACCUUCCUUUAUUUUGUUCUUCUGCAAAAUGCAAAGAAAAUACGUAAGCACUGAAAUAACUGAGUAAUCAAGGUGAGAAUAAAAGUGAAAAAAAAUAUUUUUAUUCCUUAGUCGUUUGUUCUUUGGCAACACUCUCUUGUGCUCUACUUUUCUUUGGUUCUUUUCUGUUGAUAAUAUAUUUCUCUAAAAGGUUACUGUUGCAGAACAGUUUUUGAAAGAAUACGAGUAAUGCUAGCUCUACCCGAAACCCCCAAUCGAAAAGGCACUUGAGAUCCUAGUCUUCUAACGAAAUUUGAAACUACAAUUGUUUUUCUUAGUGUAAUUACUAUAUUCUUGAAAAUUUUAAUUAUAAAAACAUCGUAUAUAGAACUCAAAAUAUUUUCUUGACUAUUAAAAAUUAGGAAUAAUUGCUGAGACAACAACAACAUACCGCAUCGUGAGUUCCAUCUCUUGCUACACUUGAUGGACGAGGCUGCAAUUGACAAUUAUACUUCAAUUAGUAUACAUGUGAAGCUAAAUAAGUCCACAAUAGUAAACUAAUUGCCUGAAGGUGAAUCGAAAAUAAGGAGAUUUGCAUCAAGAGAUAUUAUAGCGUUCAAUAAGUUACAAAAGGGUUUAAGUUAGAAAAUAUUUGAAAAUGAGAAACAGAAAAUCACUAUGACUAUGAAGAUACUUAAUGAACAACAACCACAUAAAUAAUUUUAGAAUUUUUUCUUAAUAAACCCUAAUUUUAAAUCUUUUCUCCACUAAAUGAUGAUCUCAUUAGGUUAGUUCCCAACCUUUUACAAACUGUACAUUUGUUGAACUAUAAAAUGUUAAUUAAGCAAAAUAAUAUCAGAUCUGUGCCUCAAGCCAUCAAAUUUUUUGAGUAUCUUAUGGGAUCAAAAUAUAGCAGUAAGGACAUUAUAAGCUAAAUUAAUUACCGUAUCCAUAUUUUGUUGAGAAACCACUGGCGGCACCGAUGAGGCCGCCAUGUUGAAGUCUUUUAAAUUGUC
rnacentral:lncRNA from 1 species